AUUGAACGCUGGCGGCAGGCCUAACACAUGCAAGUCGAGCGGAUGAAGAGAGCUUGCUCUCUGAUUCAGCGGCGGACGGGUGAGUAAUGCCUAGGAAUCUGCCUGAUAGUGGGGGACAACGUUUCGAAAGGAACGCUAAUACCGCAUACGUCCUACGGGAGAAAGCAGGGGACCGUCGGGCCGUGCGCUACCAUGUGAGCCUGGGCGGGAUUAGCUAGUAGGUGGGGUAAAGGCUCCCCUAGGCGACGAUCCGUAACUGGUCUGAGAGGAUGAUCAGUCGCACUGGAACUGAGACACGGUCCAGACUCCUACGGGGGGCAGCAGUGGGGAAUAUUGGACAAUGGGCGAAAGCCUGAUCCAGCCAUGCCGCGUGUGUGAAGAAGGUCUUCGGAUUGUAAAGCACUUUAAGUUGGGAGGAAGGGCAGUAAGCUAAUACCUUGCUGUUUUGACGUUACCAACAGAAUAAGCACCGGCUAACUUCGUGCCAGCCGCCGCAGUAAAAC
rnacentral:rRNA from 1 species